rnacentral:lncRNA from 1 species
CUUCCUUAUACACCUAAAGCACCUAAACAAAAUGAAGUGUUAGGAAGAGAGGGAGAAAGAAACCUUUUGUCACUAUACAUUGAAGCUUGCAUUUUUUGGUACCAGGGAUUGAACCCAGUGGCAUAUCCCCAACAUUUUUUGAGGCAUAAAAGUUGUUUCUUUUUUCCUAAAAAUUUUUAUUAGUUAUUGAUGGGCCUUUAUUCAUUUAUUUGUUUAUAUGUGGUGUUGAGAAUCGAACCCAGUGCCUGACACAUGCUAGGCAAGCGCGCUACCACUGAGCCACACCCCAGCCCUAAAAGUUGUUUUUAAACAAACUUUUUAAAAUGCAGAAUAUUUCAUCUUUUAUCCACUACCUGACAGGUGAUAAAUGUGAGAUAUCAGAGUAGUGAUGAGACCAAUGUUUGUCAAAAUGAAGAUGAAGAGCAAUCAUGGUCUGAACUUUCGGACAUUCCAGGUUAGGUUUGCAGUAGUGCUUCUUUGCCCAACAAGCACAUAUUUUCCUCUUUAUCCCCAAAUGAACUCCAACGGGAGAGACUUAGAAUGAAAUGUGGUAACCUUACUGGUAGCUUAGCCUUGGAGAAUCUUUCAUAGUUCUGGGAUUUUUCAGAAGAGAAUAUAGUAUUUAUUGGUAGUAACAGUUUUCAAGAAACUAAUAAAGUUCCAUCUUUAAUAAAAAAAAAUAAUAAGGCUUUUAGACUUUGGAAUUUUCUAUAUAACAUUAGUCCUUUAAUCUUCUAAGCCAUUUCUUACUGAUCAUUAACACUUUUUAUCCAGCAAGCAUUCUUCAAGCUACUUACUGUUCCUGAAUAAGCACGAUGUUUAUCAUCAUAUUGAAUUGGUUCUAUUCUUUUCUAACUAAAAAGUUUUUUUGUGUGUGUUUUUCUAACUUAGCAUUUUUAGGGCUAAUUUACC